rnacentral:rRNA from 1 species
CCUACGGGUGGCAGCAGUGAGGAAUAUUGGUCAAUGGACGAGAGUCUGAACCAGCCAAGUAGCGUGAAGGAUGACUGCCCUAUGGGUUGUAAACUUCUUUUAUAUGGGAAUAAAAUGUUCCACGUGUGGGAUUUUGUAUGUACCAUAUGAAUAAGGAUCGGCUAACUCCGUGCCAGCAGCCGCGGUAAUACGGAGGAUCCGAGCGUUAUCCGGAUUUAUUGGGUUUAAAGGGAGCGUAGGUGGAUUGUUAAGUCAGUUGUGAAAGUUUUCGGCUCAACCGUAAAAUUGCAGUUGAAACUGGCAGUCUUGAGUACAGUAGAGGUGGGCGGAAUUCGUGGUGUAGCGGUGAAAUGCUUAGAUAUCACGAAGAACUCCGAUUGCGAAGGCAGUUCACUGGACUGCAACUGACACUGAGGCUCGAAAGUGUGGGUAUCAAACAGGAUUAGAUACCCUUGUAGUC